rnacentral:rRNA from 1 species
AUGGCGCAGGAUAAUACCAAAUUGUGUGACUUUUCCAAUACCAAUAAUAAUGAUUUCCUUAGCACUCCGAUUGCUCCUCUUAAUGAUGUUGAAUCUUGUGAAAUCAAUGCUGCUUUGUUGAAUCUUGUUAUGAAAGGUCAAUUGUCCGGCCUUCCUAGUGUAGAUGCCGCUAGUCAUCUAAACAACUUUGUUGAUUUGUGUGAUAUGCAAAAGAAGAAAGAUACGGAUAAUGAUAUUGUUAAAUUGAAGUUAUUUCCAUUUUCACUUAGAGAUCGUGCUAAAACUUGGUUUUCGUGUUUGCCUAAGAAUAGUGUUGAUUCAUGGAAUAAGUGCAAAGAUGCUUUUAUCUCUAAGUAUUUUCUUCCCGCUAAGAUCAUCUCUCUUAAGAACGAUAUUAUGAAUUUUAAACAACUUGAUCAUGAGCAUGUUGCCCAAUCUUGGCAAAGAAUGAAAUUAAUGAUUCGCAAUUGCCCUACUCAUGGUUUGAACUUAUGGAUGAUCAUACAAAAAAUUUAUGCCGGAUUGAAUUUUGCUUCUAGAAAUCUUUUAGAUUCGGCCACGGGAGGCACUUUUAUGGAAAUCACCUUAGGAGAAGCUACUAAACUCCUUGAUAACAUUAUGGCUAAUUAUUCUCAAUGGCACACCGAAAGAUCUACUAGUAAAAAAGUGCAUGCUAUAGAAGAAUUAAUGUUUUGA